rnacentral:rRNA from 1 species
GGUGGAUUAGUGGCGAACGGGUGAGUAACACGUGAGAAAUCUGCCCUUGACUCUGGGAUAACUGCGGGAAACUGUAGCUAAUACCGGAUACUUUCCUUGGUGGGCAUCCACUGGGGAAGAAAGAAUUUCGGUCAAGGAUGAUCUCGCGGCCUAUCAGCUAGUUGGUGAGGUAAUGGCUCACCAAGGCGACGACGGGUAGCCGGCCUGAGAGGGUGACCGGCCACACUGGGACUGAGACACGGCCCAGACUCCUACGGGAGGCAGCAGUGGGGAAUAUUGCACAAUGGGCGCAAGCCUGAUGCAGCAACGCCGCGUGAGGGACGAAGGCCUUCGGGUUGUAAACCUCUUUUAGCAGGGAAGAAGCGAAAGUGACGGUACCUGCAGAAAAAGCACCGGCUAACUACGUGCCAGCAGCCGCGGUAAUACGUAGGGUGCAAGCGUUGUCCGGAAUUAUUGGGCGUAAAGAGCUCGUAGGCGGUUUGUCACGUCUGCUGUGAAAUUUCGAGGCUCAACCUCGA